UACGGAGGGAGCUAGCGUUGUUCGGAAUUACUGGGCGUAAAGCGCACGUAGGCGGCUUUUUAAGUCAGGGGUGAAAUCCCGGAGCUCAACCCCGGAACUGCCCUUGAAACUGGGAAGCUAGAAUCUUGGAGAGGCGAGUGGAAUUCCGAGUGUAGAGGUGAAAUUCGUAGAUAUUCGGAAGAACACCAGUGGCGAAGGCGACUCGCUGGACAAGUAUUGACGCUGAGGUGCGAAAGCGUGGGGAGCAAACAGG
rnacentral:rRNA from 1 species